GACGAACGCUGGCGGCGUGCUUAACACAUGCAAGUCGAACGGAAAGGCCCUGCUUUUGUGGGGUGCUCGAGUGGCGAACGGGUGAGUAACACGUGAGUAACCUGCCCUUGACUUUGGGAUAACUUCAGGAAACUGGGGCUAAUACCGGAUAGGAGCUCCUGCUGCAUGGUGGGGGUUGGAAAGUUUCGGCGGUUGGGGAUGGACUCGCGGCUUAUCAGCUUGUUGGUGGGGUAGUGGCUUACCAAGGCUUUGACGGGUAGCCGGCCUGAGAGGGUGACCGGCCACAGUGGGACUGAGAUACGGCCCAGCCUCCUGCGGGGGGGAGCAGUGGGGAAUAUUGCACAAUGGGCGGAAGCCUGAUGCAGCAGCGCCGCGGGCGGGAUGACGGCCUUCGGGUUGUAAACCGCUUUCGCCUGUGACGAAGCGUGAGUGACGGUAGUGGGUAAAGAAGCACCGGCUAACUACGUG
rnacentral:rRNA from 1 species